GGAGCCUUGCCGCGUUCACCUGUUCUACCCACGGGAGGACCAGACCCCUACGCUCCCGAGCCAGCAGCCCGAGCAUCUAACCGCUGCUGAACCGCGUGCGGGCAAGCCACCGCGGAGGCCAGCGCUGUCCUGCGGACGGGUUGACGGUCUUCUCGUGCCCGGAGAUUCCUGUUCUCAGCUGGAAUGCUUCUAUAAAGAGAUACCUCCCCACAUCCAUUAUGU